CGUAAGGGAGCAGGAAACGUAAAUUUGUAGUUCUUACGGGCGUAGAAAAAAGCAGUAAACCUGGCAUAAAUUGAAAUAAGAAAGUCGUAAGUUUUCUUACGGGCGUAAAUUGAAAUAAGCAAGGCGUAGAUUUUCUUACGGGCGUAAAACUGUUGGUAUUGCGUAAAUAGAAAUACCCAUAAUGCUUUGUUUAAAGGAUCAUGGGAUUUUUUUUUCAAAAUUUGGCUCUUUGGUUUUUGUUUGCAAGAGUUAGACACAUGGCAGCUUCAUAUAUUCAGGGAUAAUUAGCUUGUUUUGUGCUUUUUGGAAGAAUCUGAAAUUCGAAAUACUGAAUCAAAUAAAUUAAU
rnacentral:lncRNA from 1 species